rnacentral:rRNA from 2 species
UUAUACCGCGAAACUGCGAAUGGCUCAUUAAAUCAGUUAUCGUUUAUUUGAUAGUACCUUACUACAUGGAUAACCGUGGUAAUUCUAGAGCUAAUACAUGCUAAAAAUCCCGACUUCGGAAGGGAUGUAUUUAUUAGAUUAAAAACCAAUGCCCUUCGGGGCUCUCUGGUGAUUCAUAAUAACUUCUCGAAUCGCACGGCCUUGCGCCGGCGAUGGUUCAUUCAAAUUUCUGCCCUAUCAACUUUCGACGGCUGGGUCUUGGCCAGCCGUGGUGACAACGGGUAACGGAGGGUUAGGGCUCGACCCCGGAGAAGGAGCCUGAGAAACGGCUACUACAUCCAAGGAAGGCAGCAGGCGCGCAAAUUACCCAAUCCCGACACGGGGAGGUAGUGACAAUAAAUACUGAUACAGGGCUCUUUCGGGUCUUGUAAUUGGAAUGAGUACAAUUUAAAUCCCUUAACGAGGAACAAUUGGAGGGCAAGUCUGGUGCCAGCAGCCGCGGUAAUUCCAGCUCCAAUAGCGUAUAUUAAAGUUGUUGAGGUUAAAAAGCUCGUAGUUGAACCUUGGGCCUAGCCGGCCGGUCCGCCUCACCGCGUGCACUGGCUCGGCUGGGUCUUUCCUUCUGGAGAACCGCAUGCCCUUCACUGGGCGUGCCGGGGAACCAGGACUUUUACUCUGAAUAAAUUAGAUCGCUUAAAGAAGGCCUAUGCUCGAAUACAUUAGCAUGGAAUAAUAGAAUAGGACGUGUGGUUCUAUUUUGUUGGUUUCUAGGACCGCCGUAAUGAUUAAUAGGGACAGUCGGGGGCAUCAGUAUUCAAUUGUCAGAGGUGAAAUUCUUGGAUUUAUUGAAGACUAACUACUGCGAAAGCAUUUGCCAAGGAUGUUUUCAUUAAUCAGGAACGAAAGUUAGGGGAUCGAAGACGAUCAGAUACCGUCGUAGUCUUAACCAUAAACUAUGCCGAUUAGGGAUCGGACGGCGUUAUUUUUUGACCCGUUCGGCACCUUACGAUAAAUCAAAAUGUUGGG